GAUCACCACAUUAUGUAAGUGGGACCAUGCACAUCCAGAAAUGUGUGACCUCCCAGCAGCAUAUGGAAGGGUUCCACUGCUCAGAAGAACGGGACGGGCUGGUGCAGAACAGAGCUCUUGGCUUCGGUGCUCAGCCUGGCUAGCCAUGAGGUGCAAGUCUGCGACAGGAGCACAGAAUUAGCAUCUUCAUUUGCCAGCACCACCCAUUCCAGUUGUUCUGAACUGAGAAAGAUCAUGAAGAAGAAAAAAUUCCUUUAGCUUCCUGUUUCUACUACUCUAAUGGUUUAAUCACACACAUUUGGAAAUACUUUCCCUGCCUGGAGUUGAUUCAGUGUGCUGGACUACUCCCGCAAGGGCUAACACAACAUAAGRAGAGCAGUGUUGGACAAUGGAACCAGAACAAUUGCUUUUGUGGGAGUUUGGCUCAUUGCAGGGGCAAUCUACGAUGGAUGCUUUACGCUACUGGCAGACUUCGGAUAUUUUGCAAAGGCUGUGUUUUCAUAGCCCCACUUCUUUUUGAGGUUAUCUCACCAAAAAGGCUCUGCUACUGUUUUAGCCCUUUGUCUUUCUGUAGACCGCUGCUUUCCAAAUGGGUCCAGGUUAAGGGAGAAACGGCUGGACAUUUGUUGUGUGUGAAAAUCUGGAUUGAUAUGAAUGAGCUGGCAAGGGCUGGCAAGGUUUAGAGGGGGUCAUGAUCAACCACCAAUAGCUGCACAUUCACUGGUAGUAGCUCCUGGCCAACAGAGGAUAGACCUGGGAAACAGAAGAUGGAGAGGUCAAUGCUGACAGCCAAACCUCACCAACACUGGUAGGACAAAAUCUAGAUAUACCCAGGGAACACCUUGCUCUCAGAUGAACCAAGAUGGAUUUGUGGAGAAGUAUUUUAAUGAGAAUAGCAACUAGCUUUUGUGACAAAAGUCAAUGGUAAGUGACUGGAUAAGUAGUAAAUAUUUAUUUAAAAUAAAUUAUGCAUAUUAUAUUAUAUAUAAUAAAUA
rnacentral:lncRNA from 1 species